rnacentral:rRNA from 1 species
UACGUAGGGUGCAAGCGUUGUCCGGAAUUAUUGGGCGUAAAGAGCUCGUAGGCGGCGUGUCGCGUCUGCUGUGAAAACUCAGGGCUCAACUCUGAGCUUGCAGUGGGUACGGGCACACUUGAGUGCUGUAGGGGAGACUGGAAUUCCUGGUGUAGCGGUGAAAUGCGCAGAUAUCAGGAGGAACACCGGUGGCGAAGGCGGGUCUCUGGGCAGUUACUGACGCUGAGGAGCGAAAGCAUGGGGAGCGAACAGG